CCUACGGGGGGCAGCAGUGAGGAAUAUUGGUCAAUGGACGAGAGUCUGAACCAGCCAAGUAGCGUGAAGGAUGACUGCCCUAUGGGUUGUAAACUUCUUUUAUAUGGGAAUAAAACGUUCCACGUGUGGGAUUUUGUAUGUACCAUAUGAAUAAGGAUCGGCUAACUCCGUGCCAGCAGCCGCGGUAAUACGGAGGAUCCGAGCGUUAUCCGGAUUUAUUGGGUUUAAAGGGAGCGUAGGUGGAUUGUUAAGUCAGUUGUGAAAGUUUGAGGCUCAAACGUAAAAUUGCAGUUGAAACUGGCAGUCUUGAGUACAGUAGCGGUGGGCGGAAUUCGUGGUGUAGCGGUGAAAUGCUUAGAUAUCACGAAGAACUCCGAUUGCGAAGGCAGUUCACUGGACUGCAACUGACACUGAGGCUCGAAAGUGUGGGUAUCAAACAGGAUUAGAUACCCGAGUAGUC
rnacentral:rRNA from 1 species